UAUUGUGACUGCAAAUGACAGUUUACUUUUGCAAGGUAUUACAAGUCAAUGCUUGAUAAUUCGGACUCCUUCGUGGCACCGUCACGUACGCCAUAGAGCCAAUGUAUAACAACAUCUCAAAUUUUG
rnacentral:lncRNA from 1 species